rnacentral:lncRNA from 1 species
GUGCACUGUCUGGUCAAGAGCAGUGUCCAUGUGCGUUUCUGUGGCAGCAGUGCACGUGGGGUGGGUGGGGGGUGCGUACGGUGGGGCUUGUAGGUUAAGAUGUCUCUGCGGUGGUGUGGGGCUGGAGGCCGAGCCAGGCACGGCAGCUGGCCCUCUCCAGGCGCAUGGAGGAAUUCUCCCUUUGCCGUUCCAAGGAUGCCGCCGCCUCCUACCGGGGCUCCCGGGGGGGUCAGCCAACACUACAAAGGGCAGCGAGUCCUCAGGGCGCCCGGGAGCCACCAGUCUGCUCUCGGGCUCUACUCAGACUAGCGCCAACAGUCUCCGCGGACAGACUCGCAUCAGCCGCCCUGGGGCUCGGCCUCCUCCCAUAGGCUCCUCUUCCUCUCUUUCAUUCAAGUCUUCAAACUUUGAAAAAAAUAUGAGCUUUUGCCAAAUAAGACGGGAUAGUUUAUGGAGUUUUCUGAGGCGCAUUGAACUCUGGUCAGCCCCUCGAGCGUGGGCUCGGCCAUCAGCAGGCCCGGUGGGUUGGCCGGGCUGGCCCUCCCAGGCUGCCUUUCUCUCUGGUCGCGGCCUGGCCCGCCCCGGCCUCCACCGCCGCAAUUCAUGCUGGUGCCGCGCCCGCAGCCCCACUCCUGGUAUGCCUGAGAUUCUCCAGGGGCCAAGCCGGUCCUCCUUCCCGGCCCACUCUUCCAGGGCCAGGACGCUCCCGCGGAGCCAGCCCAUCGUGGCUGGGGGUCCCAGGGGCUGGAGGCCUGCCUGGUUAGCCUCUGUUUCCCAGACAUUGACUCGAGGCGCCUCCAGUCCUCUCAACCCCCUGACUUUCAAGUCCUUUCAAGUCCUUGUGCCCUGACCAAGUUAUGAGGAAAAGAGGGCUGAGGGCCUGGAGGUGGGCUCGCACCCCCUCGAACCCACCUAGAUGUCUCCUCCUCCCCAGCCUAUGAGUUCAGACUUGGGGGGCUCCAUCUGUCCCUCCCUGAGGUCCCUCAUCUUGUCCCUGCUCUGAUUCUGUCAGCAGAUCCUGAACACUCCUUGGUGGGGACCCAUGCCUCCAAGGCUGCCCCCAAUGCCAGCUGUCCUGGGGAAACUCCCCAGAACUCUCGGGGAAAGGCCCGAGAACCUUCGGAGGAAGCCUCCGGGACUCCUCGCCACCUGCUCUGUUUCUCUCCCGGCCCCACUGCCUUCAGGUAUCAGGAAGAGGGCAGGCCCCUGUGCCCCCUCUCCCCUUCCCAGGGCGGCCAACAAUACUCCACCAUGGGGCGCUUCCUUUCUUCUCUGGAAACUAAGACAUUGGACUGAAGGAACUGGCCUGAGGGGGGCUGACCGGGGGCCCGUGCUGCUGGGAGCUCUACGCACAAGAGGCCGCCGGGGUCACGGACAGGAACCUCAGCCCAGGGUGCUGGCCUUUCUCCUUCGCAGGAGUCCCCCAAAAUCCACACAGCGACUCGAGCAGCCUUCCACUCAGCCAGAGGAGGGUCGGGCUCCCCCGCCUGCUCUCGGUGGUGGCGUCUGGCCCUUCCUGCCGUUUCCAAGGCCUCCGGAAGCACCAACCCAGUUCUCAGUUACCUCCUCUGGCCGGAAGGCCUCACGUUGUCCUCCAGAGCUGCUCUGGGCCCAGGGCUGGCUCCGUGACCACCUGAUGGACGUGCUGGGCAGCAUGGGCUCCCAAGGCAGCAUCCCCAGCUGCUCUCCCACCCCACCCCAGCUGCCCGGCGGCUGGGCCCACGAGGGCUCUGGGGACACUUCCAUAGGAAAGGGGCCUGGCACUUUGUGAUUGCCACGUGUUUCCUGUUAAGCCGCCUGCCCCCAGUGCAAAUCUCUGUGUUUUGCUCUCUCCUGAACAAAAAUGUAAACCGACGCCGGAAAGCAAAUGGUAUCGAAUACCUUUCUUGCCCAUAAGGGUUUUUACAAAGAACGUGUCUCACUAGGAACUAGGACACUCAUCGGCCCGAGACCAACUCCUGGAUAAAAGGAAUAAGGAGAAUCGUGUUUGUAACGAGUUACAGGAUUGUUUCUUUCCUGGAUUUUAAACUUUUGUUAAAUUGUGAAAUUAUGGAGGAGUUUUAUAGAAAAAAAAAGUGAAAUAAAGUCAGAUGGGAAAGCAGA